UGACGUGGCGUAUUCAUCUAACGGCUAACUCUCAUCACCAAGAGUUCUACAAAGCACGAAGCAAGCAGCAUUCGGACACCGGAAACUACUCAAGCAAAUCUACUCUCAUAACGAGAAACUAUACUAGCAUACAAUGCUAAGCUCGCGCUACCAGGCAUAACCUAAACAGGCUAUCCUACUGCUGUCUACUCAAUACUAGCAUGCAAUUCUCAUAAAGCUGUAACACAUAUAGCAGGCACAUAAGGCAUCCUCCUAGAUCCUUAGUCCUAUACUAGCAUGCUGUUCUACUGAAACUGGAACAAUUAAUCAUAAUAAUAAAACUUGUAUUGGUAAUUUGGGAGUACUUACUUGAGCUCGGCUGAUCGCAUGCACCACACCCUUAUCUUGUUUAAAAAUUCUUUUCUUUCUAAGUGCUUUUCAAAAUUUCAUUCGAAAACAUUUUUCUUUUUGAAAAUCUUUUUAUCUUUCCCUUAGUUUGAGUUCAGAUGCACCCGGAGGUGUAUCCGAAUCCCUCAAACCAAGGCUCUGAUACCAACGUGUAACAACCCAAAAAUACGACCGAAAAAUUUCAAUUUUUAUCAUAACAAAAACAUGAACUCAAGUAUCACAUAACAAAAUCAUAUGUUGCGUGUUUCAAAAACCAUGAUAAAAUACUGAGAGAAAGAAAACUAUAUCACAACUGUUUCCAAAACAUAUCAAGAAACUGAAUCAACUCCCAGGACAAAAACUGAAGCUGUGGUGUGUGCGAUGCCAUCAUCCCGAGCUCUUCCCUUUGCUUGCGGAAGUACCUGAAACCAAAACUGAAACUGUAAGCACGAAGCUUAGUGAGCUCCCCCAAACUACCACAUACCACACAAAAACAUAUAAAGCACAUACUGGGCCUUGCCCACUGCAUCGGACCGAAGUCCGGGCUAACUGGGGCCUUGCCCCCUACAUCGGACCGAAGUCCGAAGCUGACUGGGACCUCCGUCCCAUACAUCGGACCGAAGUCCGAAGCUGACUGGGACCUCCGUCCCCUACAUCGGACCGAAAUCUGAAGCUGACUGAACAUAGCAUAAACAUAUCAACUAGCAUAAACACAUAAAUCCUAUCUGAGCCACGGAGGCAUCAAACAUACUAGCUACUGCAUUAAACCGAAGUCCAGAAACUACGGAUAACUGAAUGGGCCCGCAUUGUGGCCUUAGACCCGUUCCUACUGAAGGGAACUCACCUCGUGNUGACGAGGCUCAGAUAAUCCUUCAAGUAACGACUCGUCCCUACAACGGUUGGACUCAGACAAGAGCUGCGCAAUAGAGGCAAAUCCGGCACUCUGAGAUUAUUCAACCCUAAUCACAUGUGAUGUGACGUAUUCACCUAAUGGCUAACUUCCAUCCCUCGGAGUCCCACAAAGCACAAAGCAAGCAGCAUUCGGACACCGGAAACUACUCAAGCAAAUCUACUCCCAUAACGGGAAACUAUACUAGCAUACAAUGCUAAGCUCGCGCUACCAGGCAUAACCUAAACAGGCUAUCCUACUGCUGUCUACUCAAUACUAGCAUGCAAUUCUCAUAAAGCUGUAACACAUAUAGCAGGCACAUAAGGCAUCCUCCUAGAUCCUUAGUCCUAUACUAGCAUGCUGUUCUACUGAAACU
rnacentral:lncRNA from 1 species